GAGCCGGUGGCCCGAGAGGGACGAAACCCGGAGCUGCCUCGGAAGGCGUGACGAGUUAAGCAGCGUCGCCCUAGUUGGAAUCUGCGAAGGAAAGUAGGCCAGGCUAGGAAGCUGGGAAAAGGCCGGGAUAAAGCAACCGCUUCUGGUGUGUUGCUGGACGGAGAGUUGAGCUGUUGUCGUUUGGUUGGAAUAAGCACUUGGCAAAAACAGAGAUGCCACGCGAGGCUGCCUGUAUCCGGAGACCGCUGGAAGCCGGAGCGUUACAAUUUUGCCACGCUAAUUUCUCCCAUCUGGCGGUUGUCCAGAGUUUUCGUUACGUGGAUACGUUGACCCGAGAAGCCGAACUCGGCUCCAGGACAUUUUUGCUUUGUUUACAUGGAAGGAGAGACAGUUUUAGUAUCAAAAGUUAUCAAGUCAGGCUGCAGCCUUAACCUGCUUCCACUAAUCUUCAUCUCAACAGUAAAAACAAUUAUACUUAGAAGGCAGGAACUGUUUUCAACCAAAAAAGGGGGAGAGGAGGACCAAUCAGGAUCAUUUGCUUGUUCUUUCUGAAGAGUCCCUAAUAUAAGUACAGUCUCUACCUAACAAGACUUGAUUCACGUGCCUGGAGGCCCUUCCUCAUCCAGCUAAGAAGCUAGUGCCUACUUGGGGUGAAAGAUCAGCCUCUUCCUUCCUUUUAACUAUUUUUCCCAAUAACGACUUUAACUCAAAUCUGAAUUCUCAAAAGGGAUAAUUCUAAGAAUCCUACUGUAAAAUAGUAUUAGUGGAUACACAUAUGCAUAAACAUCCAUAACAAGCCAUACUGUUCUCAAAACAAUGAUAUGCACAUUGUGACAUCAUCAAGCAAAUGACCAGGUUUAGUAAAUAUAGUAAUGACAAAAUGCGCGCGCGCAAAUCUAGCUAGCUCAUUUCACUCCACCGAAUGAGCGCGCGGUCUCCUUUCCUAUAGCGGCAGUUGAGUGUUGCUGGCUUCCACCAAUCGGAAGGCACUUAGGGGCGGGACAUCACGCGGGCGCGCGUCGUAGACGUGCCUCCUCCGCCAUCGCCCUCUCAUUCUCUACCCCCCCCUUCCUCUCCGUCGCUGCCCUUUUGCCGGAGAGACUCGUCUGGAGGCAUCCGUCGACUGGUGUUCGGUGCGGGCGGGCGAGCGACUCCAUCCCCCACCCGCAGGGAGGGAGUGCGGCAGCGGCGGCGCACACGAGGCGGAGGCGAAGGAGGCGCAGUUCGAAUGCUUCCCUCCCCACCGGCCGCGGCGGCCACCCAUUACCACCACCACCCUCAUCGCGACGCUCUCCCCGCGAGAAGGAAGGAUGGCGCUGACACGCAUCAACAAGGAUGGAGCACUAUAGUUGCCUUUAUAGUGCUCUUGCUGAGAAAGCAUCCUCUGUAGAUGAAAUCACUGAAAGACUCAUGCAUUUGGCCUGUGAUUGCUUUGAAGAAAAGGUACUAAUUUCCACGUGCUCCAAUUUAUUGAGAGUCUCAUUUACAGGGUAGGGAGGGAGCACAUGAGAAUCUUGAUUUUUUGACUUAACAAGUGGGACAUGAUCUGGAAUAGGGAGACAUUGUCAUCAGUCCCUUAUUAUUAAUGGAUUACUCUUUGUUAACCCUGGUAUUUAUCAAGACUAUUCCCAACUUCAGAACUGCUAGGGUUCAAAAGUAAUUUGGGAUUUGGCCUUGAAGUUUGGAUGCCCGGUGCAACUGAGCCUUUAAUUGUAGCAAAAAUGGCCUUGGAUUGGAUUGUCUCUUUCUUGUCUGAUAUCUUGUCUGAUAUCUUCUGGAUCUGCCCAAGAGCUGGGGGAAGACUUCCUUCCAUAUGUUGUGUAAUAUCAGUAUGCUAUUGAUAUCCAGUUCUAUCUCUCUGCCCACAUAAUGCUUUUGAGUUCUGUUCUGAUAUAUGAAGAAUAUUCUGGUAUAUGAAGAAUAUUAGUUUCUGAAUGGGGAAUGAAUAAGCUUUAAGUCAACCAAGACUAAGUAUCUAUAAAUUUGGCCUAUCUGAUCCCAGGACUGAAGAGUGUUUAUCUUUGUCUCUUGGGAGUAUACAGCAUACAAUUAAUGGGUUAUCCUAACUGCUGCUUGAAGAGCAGGUAGCAUCUAUAUCCAGGUUGGCCUUCAUACAGCUUUGCCUUGUGCACUGAUUGUGCCAAUUCCUGAACUGGGAGGCUCAUGCCUUAUUCAUAUCCCAGAUGGAUUAUUAUGACCAAGUCCACAUGGGGCUUCCCUCAAAGACCAUCUAGAAGUCACCAAACCAUGUAAUGCCCACUCCUCCACAAGCUAUUAUUGGGGGCCCAAAUAUGUGGUUGGCUCUAUCAAGCUGGCCUUCAAAAAGGUACUAAAACCUGGGUUUUUUUCCAGUCACUGAGGUCAAGCAAAUUGGAAUUGCACAUGGAGAGUUGUAAUGCAAAUUUGCAUGCCUGAUAAUUUAUUAGUUUCAUAUGCUGUUUUUAGCUAUACAGGUUUAUUAUUGUUUGUUGAUUUUAUGCCACCUAUUCACAUUUGUUCACACAGUGUAUGUGUAUUCAUAUCCCAAAUAAAUAAAUUUACAUAGUCCUAUCACAUAACUAUUUCACUUUUUUUAUUCAGUCCCUUUCCUUUUUCUAAAACAUUUUAUCUCCUAACCUUCUGAUGGUUUUCAUUCACACAUGCACAUAUAUAUAUUCACACGCUCAUUAUACUGUAUACACAAACAGACACAUACAUUUAUGAGUGUAGAUGUAUGUCGGACAUUCAGUCAUUGUAUUUUACUCAUUGACCAAAUAUAUGUAUGCAUUAUUGACAUCAUUAUAUAUGUAAUACAUGUAUGUACAUCCUUAACAUCAUAUAUCAUAAAUAAAAUAAUGGCAUUAUUAUUGUAAGUCCUGAUAGAAGCCAUGUAUAGAUACUUUUCAGAACCAUUUACCUCUUAUAAAAGUCAAGGUAUAUUGAAAUACAUUAAGACUUGAGCAAUUUUUCAAAAAUAUUAAUCAGGUUAAUGUAGUAUAGAUACAGCAGUUAAGAUUUUUCUGCCUUUUAUAACACUUAAUAAAAAAGUGCCUCUUCUAUGGCAGCUCCAUCAAUUUCUAGUCUUUGGUUUAACUGGAACCGAAAUCUCCAUUACUUCACUUGGGUUUGAAACUCUUGGUAAGUUUGCAUCUAGCAUUCUGAAAUAUACUGGCUUCCUUAUGAGAAGAACCAGAAUCUUCGCUAGAAUUGGUGGCAUUUAUAGAACAUAGUGGGCCAUGAACCCAGAUUUAAAAUCACACUAUGGUUUAUAGCAGUAUAUAAAUUGGCAGUUAUAUUUCUCCAUGCAGCAAACUUAGAAUUUUUUUUAAAAAAAGUUACCAGUCAUUCAACUAAAAACCCUGUUGAUGCACGCUAUGCAUUCAGAUGAAUAAUCAGUUUUUAUUAUAUGUAAUAUAAUCAUAUAUAUUACAUUAUAAAUAUUUUAACUGACAACUAAGGAUCCCAAGAUGUAUAAAUAUAUAAAUAUUAUUGUUCAUGUAGUUUUGGGUAUAUGAAAUAGUUUUCCAAGAUAGGUAUGAUAAAAUACCUGGAAAGCCAAAAAUUAGUAGUAGUAUAUAAGUUUUAGUUUUGCACUACUGUGAAAGCAAGAGACCUUGUUUGUAGAAGAGAUCUGUACAUCACAACAAGGUUCUAUACAUUUGCUCUGAUCAAUUGGAGGUCAUGGUUAUAAAUAAAAUACCUCAUUUAAAAAAAGAUUUUUUUGAUAAUGAGUUAAGUAAUACACAAAUACAGCCAUGGCUAAUUGGCUUCAGAAAUGCACUGGAAAAUACUUAGCUAUAUUUUACCAAUGAAAAUUGUCAUUCCCUAGCAUUUGCUCUUACAAAUAUUAUCCUAGGUCAGAUGGAACAAUUAAGUGUUUCUUUAUUAUAGGACUAUGUUUGGCAACUAUGUUUUUGGUUUUAGCAGUUCGAAUUGUGGCUUUUUGUUGCCGACUUUCAUUGGAAGGAAAAAUUAUUUAUUGCACUAGCAUGUCCUGAAAGCAACUGUCCAAAUUGUACAACCAACCCAAAACCUGCACCUGAGUCAGGUAAGGCAGGCUAAUAUCAAGGAGGCCUUUUUGAUGUGGCAUAGUCAUUCUUGGGAAACUUCACAUACUGUUUGCUACAGGUUUAGACCACCUGUGACAACAGUUAUUUCUUCUAAUGUAUCAAUCAAAAUAUAUUUAAAUACAAAUGCUUCAAUACAUUUAACCCACAGUACUGCUUAGAAAAAGAAAUUGACAAUAAAUGCAUUUAAAAAUUUAAUUUCAAGGAAAUUAAUUUAUCACCUAAUUUAUCCAUUAUAGGUAUUUUUAUUUUAUACAGUACAUCUCAGGAGUAACUAUACAGAUCUCAAACAUAACAUCUAUAAGAUAUUUGUGUUGAAGCAUCAGAAUACUGAAUUUAUUUGGGGUGUUAGACAUCUAAAAUGAUGCCAUGUUGCAUGUUUCCAAAUACUGUUGAUGCGUAGAGAAUACUCUGAAACAAUAUUUUCCAAUGUGGAUGACAUGAUGUGUGGAGUUUAAUUCCUAAAAUUCUCAGAAAUGGCAAUGCUGCUAUGAGGAUUAUGGAAGUCAAAGCACGCACAAAGGGAUACUCCAAUUGUGAAAGGCUGUGCUAGAACAAUAUAGAGGAAAAAUUACAAGCAAUAAGAUUGAGAAUAGUCUAAACUGAGCAAACAUGAUUUCGGGAUGUGUCCCCAUAUAGGAGAACUUUGAGGGAAGUGGCUGGCUGCAGAUAGAAGGGAGGGGGGAGAAAGGUUCUCCCAUAAACUUAAGGUGCAUCGGAGAAAUCUGCUUUACUAAUUGCUGAUUUAAUUUGUUUAGGUUUUUGUUAGCACAGUAGGUGGAUUCAAAUAUUGUUGUUCUUCUUUAUGGCAUAAUGUGAUAUUUGAAUCCUGGCCAUUGUGCUUUAUUCAGUCAAUUAUGGCUAGAGAAACCAUGAUUUAGUGUGAUAUAUGAAAUCAGUGACUU